GACGAACGCUGGCGGCGUGCUUAACACAUGCAAGUCGAGCGGUAAGGCCCUUUCGGGGGUACACGAGCGGCGAACGGGUGAGUAACACGUGGGUGACCUGCCUUUAGCUCUGGGAUAAGCCUGGGAAACCGGGUCUAAUACCGGAUAUGACUCCGCGGCGCAUGUUGUGGGGUGGAAAGCCUUGUGCGGCUGGAGAUGGGCCCGCGGCCUAUCAGCUUGUUGGUGGGGUGAUGGCCUACCAAGGCGACGACGGGUAGCCGGCCUGAGAGGGCGACCGGCCACACUGGGACUGAGACACGGCCCAGACUCCUACGGGAGGCAGCAGUGGGGAAUCUUGCGCAAUGGGCGAAAGCCUGACGCAGCGACGCCG
rnacentral:rRNA from 1 species